CGCGGGACGUCCUGCCGGUGGGCGCGCGCCGCGACCCGCAAGGGUAGCGAACGCGCGUCCGACCAAUGCUCCCGCCGCGGUGCUCUUUACCGAGUGUCGCAGCGGGCCGGCACGUUUACUUUGAACAAAUUAGAGUGCUCAAAGCAGGCCAAAACCUCGCUCGAAUAUUGUGUGCAUGGAAUAAUGGAAUAGGACCUCGGUUCUAUUUUGUUGGUUUUCGGAACCCCGAGGUAAUGAUCAAUAGGAACGGAUGGGGGCAUUCGUAUUGCGACGUUAGAGGUGAAAUUCUUGGAUCGUCGCAAGACGGACAGAAGCGAAAGCAUUUGCCAAAAACGCUUUCAUUGAUCAAGAACGAAAGUUAGAGGUUCGAAGGCGAUCAGAUACCGCCCUAGUUCUAACCAUAAACGAUGCCAUUUGACGAUGCGCCGAAGUUCCUCCGAUGACUCGGCGGGCAGUCCCCGGGAAACCAAAACUUUUGGGUUCCGGGGGAAGUAUGGUUGCAAAGCUGAAACUUAAAGGAAUUGACGGAAGGGCACCACAAGGGGUGGAGCCUGCGGCUUAAUUUGACUCAACACGCGAAAGCUCACCAGGUCCGGACACCGGAAGGAUUGACAGAUUGAGAGCUCUUUCUUGAUUCGGUGGGUGGUGGUGCAUGGCCGUUCUUAGUUGGUGGAGCGAUCUGUCUGGUUAAUUCCGAUAACGAGCGAGACUCUAGCCUGCUAACUAGGCGUUCAGGACAUCCCGAAGGCCCGCGUCGGCCGUCGGGCUUCGUGCCCGGCGCGUCCGACGCGCGGUUUUUACUGUCCGCGUACACAAUUAUCUUCUUAGAGGUACAGGCGGCUCCUAGCCGCACGAAACAGAGCAAUAACAGGUCUGUGAUGCCCUUAGAUGUCCUGGGCCGCACGCGCGCUACACUGAAGGAAUCAGCGUGUCCUCCCUGGCCGAGAGGUCCGGGUAACCCGCUGAACCUCCUUCGUGAUAGGGAUCGGGGCUUGCAAUUGUUCCCCGCGAACGAGGAAUCCCUAGUAAGCGCGAGUCAUAAGCUCGCGUUGAUUAUGUCCCUGCCCUUUGUACACACCGCCCGUCGCUGCUACCGAUUGAAUGAUUUAGUGAGGUCUCCGGACCGGCACGCGGCGGCGCUUCGGCGUUGCCGACGUUCGCCGGAAAGAUGACCGAA
rnacentral:rRNA from 1 species